UACGGAGGGGGCUAGCGUUGUUCGGAAUUACUGGGCGUAAAGCGCACGUAGGCGGCUUUGUAAGUUAGAGGUGAAAGCCCAGGGCUCAACCCUGGAAUUGCCUUUAAGACUGCAUCGCUUGAACAUCGGAGAGGUAAGUGGAAUUCCGAGUGUAGAGGUGAAAUUCGUAGAUAUUCGGAAGAACACCAGUGGCGAAGGCGACUUACUGGACGAUUUGUUGACGCUGAGGUGCGAAAGCGUGGGGGAGCAAAACAGG
rnacentral:rRNA from 1 species